CGUAGGCUUCAAUAUUUCGACGCUGAAAUACAAACGAAUUACAGAUUAUUCAGAGACAGACCGCAGCGGUUAAAGACGCGAUCAUACGGCAAUCACGGAGCCAGGGGCCAGUUCUCUUCCAAGGCAAACGGAUCUACUUUGACCAGGACUACUCCCCCGGCUUGCAGCAGAAACGGAUGAGGGUUCACAAAGUUAUAAAGCAAGGACAUUCUGGCGAGAUGUCUGUACCCAGCACAAUUGAGGAUUAAGCUGAACACUGGCGAGAAAACUUUUCCAACACUAACGAGAGCGGCACACAGCUCAAGGAGCUGGGAUCGAUGUGAGAUGCGGGGAGAGGGAGCGCAUCGAGGAGGACCUGAAAGCUGGAUGGAUGAACCAAGAGAGGAGAGGGAGGGAAACGAUCUUAAGGCUUUUCGGCAAGGAGAAGACUAAAGUGACUUCACCACAAAGGUGGACUAAAGUUAGCUGCAAUCAAAACAGUGAGGUGGACCUGUGUCUCCCGAUACCUGGGUCUUUGAUGGAAGGGAAGGGAAGAUACCCAUACGAAUUCCUCUUUGAUACUGCUUAGUCACCACUGCCUAUUUGCUUCCUAGCUCCUCUGAGGAGCAGGCGGUUUACCAGAGCCAGCACACCAGCUCCAGACAGCAAUACUCACAGCUUGAAUGUCUGUGGGAACCAAGGAUGGGUUGAUAAACAAGGCGCUUAUUGAGACAAGCCCCCACCCUGAGUCUCGAUCCCCGGGUUCCUAUCUGCUUCGGCCACCAAACCCUUAACAACCUCCUUCAUCCCUCCAUCUCUCUAUCCUCGAUGCAGCCAUCAUAAAUACUCCUUAUUAUUCGAAUAAACUACCUUUUCAUACCUCA